UACGUAGGGUGCAAGCGUUGUCCGGAAUUAUUGGGCGUAAAGAGCUCGUAGGCGGUCUGUCACGUCGGCUGUGAAAACCCGAGGCUCAACCUCGGGCCUGCAGUCGAUACGGGCAAACUAGAGUACUGCAGGGGAGACUGGAAUUCACGGUGUAGCAGUGAAAUGCGUAGAUAUCGUGAGGAAGACCGGUGGCGAAGGCGGAUCUCUGGACAGUUCCUGACGCUGAGGGCGCGAAAGGCCAGGGGGAG
rnacentral:rRNA from 1 species